AUGAUGUACCUAAAGAACUUUAUUGAUGAUCAGGCGUGCAUUUUGAAUGCAUUGGAAGCAAAUUCAGAAUGCCUGAGGAUCGAUUUCUUCUGUUGGUCAUGUUGUAAAAAUAGGAAGCAGCUUCUCACGAGCCAACCUUUUUUUUGCAGGGGAGACUCCAGGGAGAGAGAGGAAAGCUGCGCAAGUGCCCCUGGAAGCGAGGCAGCUCGGCGCCGUCGCGGAAGAGGAGCUACGCUUCCAUGGAGUAGAGCGACGAGGGGCUCCGGCGUCGCUGUAGAGGAGGGAGGAGAUCCGCCGCCACUGCACCUGACAAUUCGACAGGAACCUCUCUGGAUGAUUCUGUCAAUUCUGGUGUUAUGCAUUUUUGAAAGUGUUGUGCAAUGGCAGAAAUUGGCAAGAGGACACCUCAACUUGGUAUGA
rnacentral:rRNA from 1 species